GACGAACGCUGGCGGCGUGCCUAAUACAUGCAAGUUGAGCGCUGAAGGAUGGUACUUGUACCAACUGGAUGAGCAGCGAACGGGUGAGUAACGCGUGGGGAAUCUGCCUUUGAGCGGGGGACAACAUUUGGAAACGAAUGCUAAUACCGCAUAAAAACUUUAAACACAAGUUUUAAGUUUGAAAGAUGCAAUUGCAUCACUCAAAGAUGAUCCCGCGUUGUAUUAGCUAGUUGGGGAGGUAAAGGCUCACCAAGGCGAUGAUACAUAGCCGACCUGAGAGGGUGAUCGGCCACAUUGGGACUGAGACACGGCCCAAACUCCUACGGGAGGCAGCAGUAGGGAAUCUUCGGCAAUGGACGAAAGUCUGACCGAGCAACGCCGCGUGAGUGAAGAAGGUUUUCGGAUCGUAAAACUCUGUUGGUAGAGAAGAACGUGGGUGAGAGUGGAAAGCUCAUCAAGUGACGGUAACUACCCAGAAAGGGACGGCUAACUACGUG
rnacentral:rRNA from 1 species